GGUUAGACUCCUGAUCUCACAGUCUCUGUGGAGUUAUUGACUAAAAGUCACGUUGCUGUGAUGAUGUCAUCUGUUUGAUUGUCUGUUACUGAGGUCGAUUAGGGCAAUCAGUUUGAGUUUUUAUGAGUAAACACACUAUCAGGGUUUACAGCAGACAGGCCAGACUCAGGCCCACGGGCGAAAUUUGGCCCUCGAUAUAAAUACAUUUGGCCCGUGAGAUCUUAUCAAAUAUGUAUUGGAGCUGCCCCGCCGGCCGCUGUGCCAGUGCAGCUCAUGGACCUCUAACACUAUGAAUCCCAGAAUGCUUUGCAAAUGGCCCCCACCACUUCUGUCAUUAGAUUCUGUUCCUGUCGUCUCACUCAAAUUUAAUGGACCCUUCUGAAAAAACAUCCAGAUAUAAAUAUUCAGUUUGACUGGGUUUACAGUAGAAGUGUUUGCUCUGAUAAUAUUCCAGAUGAACGUGCCUUAGUUCAUCUGUGUUAAAGUCAAAUCACUUGUUUUGAUGGCACAGCAAAGUAAAAACAGCACGGACAAUAAACCUGAUUCUUCCUUGUUUUUUUAAGGUGGAGACAAAUGUCCUUCCAGAAAAAGCCAUAAAAAACACAGAUAUAAAGUGAUAAGGUUUAAUUACAGCGUUGGCUCCUGGUGUUGGUUUCAUUUUUACAGAGGCUGUGGUGGAAAGUUAUAAAGUACAAAAGAUAAAGCUGCAGACGUGGCACAGUCUGAAUAUGGAGCACUCUCGCCUCACAGCAAAAAGGUUUGGGUUUAACUCCCGGGGCUCAUUGUGUCUGGGAGUUUUUUUCUGGGCACUCCAGUUUUCCCCAUAAACCCAAAACAUGUAAAUCCUCCAGCUGAGGUAGUGGUCCAUACCUCCAGACUUCUAGCCUGAUUUGGAGGUUUUAUAGAGAGACUGAGGCUGGAGGUGACACAUCCACAUGUGCAGGUUCUGCAGUGAGUCCUCAGGACCAACUCUGACAUUUCUACAUUUGACUUGAAGUAAGAAUAAAAACAAUUUAAUCAAAUAAUAUUUACCUCUAUGGGGUAUUAAAGAGGAGGUAUUUACUUCUAUAUAAAAAUACUUUAAUAUAUAUUGUUAGUUUUAUACUUUUAGAUUACAGUCACAGUCCCAUAAAUAUUUAAACUGUUUAAUUAAACUUUCAAAACAAAUAAACCACACCCAGCAGGUAAAAUGGUGAUGCAGUACUACAGGUGUACUACAGGUGUACUACAGGUGUACUACAGGUGUAAUACAGGUGUACUACAGGUGUACUACAGGUGUAAUACAGGUGUACUACAGGUGUACUACAGGUGUACUACAGGUGUACUACAGGUGUAAUACAGGUGUACUACAGGUGUAAUACAGGUGUACUACAGGUGUACUACAGGUGUACUACAGGUGUACUACAGGUGUAAUACAGGUGUACUACAGGUGUACUACAGGUGUACUACAGGUGUACUACAGGUGUAAUACAGGUGUACUACAGGUGUACUACAGGUGUACUACAGGUGUAAUACAGGUGUACUACAGGUGUAAUACAGGUGUACUACAGGUGUAAUACAGGUGUACUACAGGUGUACUACAGGUGUACUACAGGUGUAAUACAGGUGUACUACAGGUGUAAUACAGGUGUACUACAGGUGUACUACAGGUGUACUACAGGUGUAAUACAGGUGUACUACAGGUGUAAUACAGGUGUAAUACAGGUGUAAUACAGGUGUACUACAGGUGUACUACAGGUGUAAUACAGGUGUACUACAGGUGUACUACAGGUGUAAUACAGGUGUACUACAGGUGUAAUACAGGUGUACUACAGGUGUACUACAGGUGUAAUACAGGUGUACUACAGGUGUAAUACAGGUGUACUACAGGUGUACUACAGGUGUACUACAGGUGUGUACCACAGAAAAGGCAUUGACUGCACUUAUUAUUUUCAGUUGACUUUGUUGAAUUUGUGCAGCCCAAGGGUUGGUGCCAUUAUACAUUAUAUAAUAUACAUUAUACAUUAUACAUUAUAUAUGCUGAAACUAAUAUCAAAACUAGAUACUCACAUGAGCAGGGCGUGACAUUUUCAGCUAUUUGGAUUGAUUUUGAGCUUAGUAAAGUACAGAUACAGUUCAGUAAGUUACAGGUGAACAGCAGUUACAUCGACACAGUGAAACUGACACAGGACGUCUGUAAAGUGUCACCAGUCUACAGUAUAUACACAACACAUCCACAUCAAAAUCACACAACACAUCCACAUGUGCAGGUUCUUCAGUGAGUCCUCAGGACGAACUCUGUCAUUUCUACAUUUGACUUGAAGUAAGAAUAAAAAAUAAUUUAAUCAAAUAAUGUUAUUCACUUUCACCGCUCUCUGUUGCCAGCCUUAAAGUGGAGGUAUGGAAUAUUAAAGAGGAGGUAUUUACUUCUAUGGGGUAAUAAAUGUAACACAUUUACAUCACCACGUUUCCUUUACUGUUUUCAGAACGCUGUUUUCACUCAAAACAAAGUAUUAAAAAUUAAAGUGAAACUUAUAAAACAUGCUGACGCUCUGGUUCCACUCGUGAGAAGACUUUCGGCUCUGAAUCUUUUGUAUCUGUUCAUUUCAAAGAGCCAUUCAAAAGACUGGCUCUUUUACUAUUAUACGACAGGAGCCAAUGUCAGAACUCCUUUUAUCUUUAAACUGAUCACAGAGAAACGGCGAGGCUCAGAUGUGUUUAAACUGAGUCAAACUGAGAGAGUUUAACCUUUGGAAUGAAGCAGAAUCUAAAACAUCUUUGCACUACAGUAAUAAUAUAAAAUCUGUUAUUGUGGGCGGAGCCUCGUACAGGCUUGUACUGAUAACCACAGGGAGGGUUUGAAUUGAGCUCAGAAAAGUACAUUUUGCAUAAUACCUCGUCUUUAAGUUUUACAUUCUCAAGUCAAAGUCAAAUAAACAAAUGACACGUUUUCUAUCUAAAAAACUGAAGAAUCAACGAGAUGAAGACAGACGCCACAACGCCAACUCCAGCCUCGAACCUGCAACCUCCAC
ensembl:lncRNA